rnacentral:rRNA from 1 species
GAUGAACGCUGGCGGCGUGCUUAACACAUGCAAGUCGAACGAAGCAUUUAAGACAGAUUCCUUCGGUUUGAAGUCUUUUAUGACUGAGUGGCGGACGGGUGAGUAACGCGUGGGUAACCUGCCUCAUACAGGGGGAUAGCAGCUGGAAACGGCUGGUAAUACCGCAUAAGCGCACAGUACCACAUGGUACAGUGUGAAAAACUCCGGUGGUAUGAGAUGGACCCGCGUCUGAUUAGCUUGUUGGCGGGGUAACGGCCCACCAAGGCGACGAUCAGUAGCCGACCUGAGAGGGUGACCGGCCACAGUGGGACUGAGACACGGCCCAGACUCCUACGGGAGGCAGCAGUGGGGAAUAUUGCACAAUGGAGGAAACUCUGAUGCAGCGACGCCGCGUGAGUGAAGAAGUAGUUCGCUAUGUAAAGCUCUAUCAGCAGGGAAGAUAGUGACGGUACCUGACGAAGAAGCUCCGGCUAAAUACGUG